rnacentral:rRNA from 1 species
CCUCGGAGAGUUUGAUCCUGGCUCAGGACGAACGCUGGCGGCGUGCCUAAUACAUGCAAGUCGAGCGGACAGAAGGGAGCUUGCUCCCGGAUGUUAGCGGCGGACGGGUGAGUAACACGUGGGUAACCUGCCUACAGAAGGGAGCUUGCUCCCGGAUGUUAGCGGCGGACGGGUGAGUAACACGUGGGUAACCUGCCUGUAAGACUGGGAUAACUCCGGGAAACCGGAGCUAAUACCGGAUAGUUCCUUGAACCGCAUGGUU